rnacentral:misc_RNA from 1 species
GUGAAUCAUCGAAUCUUUGAACGCAAAUUGCACUCCCUGGUAUUCCGGGGAGUAUGCCUGUUUGAGGGUCGUUAAAACGAAAAUCGAAGCGUCUCUCUUUUGUUUAAGGGUGAUCGCGUCGGGAUUGAACCGUCUUUCAAAUGUUAAUGCGUUUCAAAGUGGCUUAAAAUGCAUCCAUCCGGUACGAUUAAAGCGGAUUUAAGAUCAAUUUGGAUUAAGAGCGCUCGAUGAACGUACCAUCUCAUGUAUUACAUUAGA